UACGAAGGGGGCUAGCGUUGCUCGGAAUUACUGGGCGUAAAGCGCACGUAGGCGGCUUUCUAAGUCGGGGGUGAAAUCCUGGAGCUCAACUCCAGAACUGCCUUCGAUACUGAAGAGCUCGAGUCCGGGAGAGGUGAGUGGAACUGCGAGUGUAGAGGUGAAAUUCGUAGAUAUUCGCAAGAACACCAGUGGCGAAGGCGGCUCACUGGCCCGGUACUGACGCUGAGGUGCGAAAGCGUGGGGAGCAAACAGG
rnacentral:rRNA from 1 species